rnacentral:tRNA from 1 species
ACCUGGGUUGCUCAGUGGUUGAGCGUCUGACUUUGGCUCAGGUCAUGAUCCUGGGGUCCUGGGAUCAAGUCCCACAUCAGGCU